GACAGAGGGUGCAAACGUUGUUCGGAAUUACUGGGCGUAAAGCGCGUGUAGGCGGCCAUGCAAGUCGGAUGUGAAAGCCCUCGGCUCAACCGGGGAAGUGCACUCGAAACUGCAAGGCUAGAGUCUCGGAGAGGAUCGUGGAAUUCUCGGUGUAGAGGUGAAAUUCGUAGAUAUCGAGAGGAACACCGGUGGCGAAGGCGGCGAUCUGGACGAUGACUGACGCUGAGGAGCGAAAGCGUGGGGAGCGAACAGG
rnacentral:rRNA from 1 species